AGUUUUAUAGUCUAUGUAUGAUUUAAAAUUGCAAAUUUUAAGAAGUAAGAAAAUUACUAAGGCUU
rnacentral:tRNA from 1 species